AGUGCAAGCCGUCUUGUCGCUGUUCCGCUUUGCGGGAGGGAGGAAAGUCCGGGCAACAAAGAGCGCCAUACUUCCUAACGGGAAGGGGUCAAGCUGGGAACGGCUUGGUCACAGAAAGUGCCACAGAAAAUAUACCGCCCCGAUCCGAUCGGGGUAAGGGUGAAAAGGUGGGGUAAGAGCCCACCGCUUCUACAGUGAUGUAGAGGGCACGGCAAACCUUAUGGGUUGAAAGAUCAAAUAGGUCCCGCACCGGAUUCAGUUUCGGAAAAGGCUGCUCGUCUUUCUGCGGGAUGGGUAGAUUGAUGGAUCCCGGUUGUGAAGCCGGGACUAGAUAAAUGACAAGAAACCCAUUUGUAGAAAUGGGGAACAGAACCCGGCUUAUAGGCUUGCACCUUUA
rnacentral:RNase_P_RNA from 2 species